CAAAGUUUUUAAUAGCUUUUAAUCUCCAAGGUCUUGGGAUACCUUUGUCAAAGUUGCUGUGACAAAGUCCCAGGGAGUUUGUCAAAGUAUAGCGUCUUAAAAGUGCAAAAAAUAGAGGGAAUAUUCACAAAAUAUGACUGACUUCCUGUUCAUUUUAGAGCAUGGUCCCAAAAGACUUGUUUUUAAGGCCACCUACAUGUGUUAAAAUAUCACCAUACUUGUAGGUCAAAAGGGGCAGUUGAAAACUGCCAGGGGGCACUAUGUAGGCCAUUUUUUUCAACUCUGUAGUGUCAUUAUCUAGGACACAGACAAAACAUUAAGAGUUUUUGAGUUUUCCAAGGCUCGGAAAUAUCUGAACUGUGAUGCAAAGGCCGUGUUGUUACGGCAACAAAGUUUUUCUAUAACUCCCAAUAAUCAUGGGGAACUAUCAAAGUCUUAAGGCUUUAAUGGAUACAUUUAAAGGUCGAUGGAUUAGAUGGCUAGUAGUAGCACAUUAAAGUGUUCAACUUUUUGCAUUUCCUUAUGCCAAUAGAUGGCGCUAUGAUUCUUUUAAUUACUGCAUGGGACUGCUUUAAGGCCUACACUACCAUCAUGAAGACAUUUUGGCCAGAACUUGGAAUAUUCCUUGGAGUUAUAACAUUUUACAUUUUCAAGAAAAUCCACCAAAAUGGACGCCGGUCCACGUCCAGGUUGUUGAAAACUCUUGAUUUGGAUGACUUUCGACUACACAGGUGUCAGGAUCAGUCUGCCCAAAUUUAAACUCUUGGAGGAGUUCAUUUGUUUGUAAAUCCAAAAUAUGAUAGAAAUUGAAAAAAACAAGCAAGAGAAAACAGUCACAAGCAUCCCGCACAUUCUUGAUCAUUACCUUACUGGAGUCAGCCUGGGUUGCUUUGGAAUGAAAUGAAAUAGCAUUAACCUUCGCUCAGGCCAUAAUAAAAAAAUCAAUAUAGUGCACUGAGGAGCAGAUAACCAUACUCUACACACCUGCGUUGUGACCGUAUGUGAAAGUGACAAGUGUAUGUGAACGGGAAGUGUGAAG
ensembl:lncRNA